rnacentral:tRNA from 1 species
UGGUGCAGUGGUAGCACAUAAGUCUCACAAGCUGAAGGUCCUGAGUUCAAUCCUCGG